GUACACGCUGUGACUAGCAUAUCAAUAAGCGGAGGAAAAGAAACUAACAAGGAUUCCCCUAGUAACGGCGAGUGAAGCGGGAAGAGCUCAAAUUUGAAAUCUUAAAGGGUUUCCCUUUACGAAUUGUAGUUUAAAGAAGUGUUUUCUGUUGAGGUUUUGGUAAAAGUUCUUUGGAAUAGGACAUCAUAGAGGGUGAGAAUCCCGUAUUUGACCUUUACUUUCAACUUUGUGAUACACUUUCAAAGAGUCGGAUUGUUUGGGAAUGCAGUCCAAAAUGGGUGGUAAAUUUCAUCUAAAGCUAAAUAUUGGCGAGAGACCGAUAGCGAACAAGUACCGUGAGGGAAAGAUGAAAAGAACUUUGAAAAGAGAGUUAAACAGUACGUGAAAUUGUCAAAAGGGAAGCGUUUGACACCAGUGUUGUUUUUCUGAAAAUCAAUUAAAGAACUGUUUAUGCUAAGUUGUUUAGACUUUAUCAGCUAACUGUUUAGUUUUGAGCUUUUCUUUAAUGCACUUUUCAGUUAACAAGUCAACAUCAAUUUCUUUUGCUGUAAAAAAGCUUGAGGAAGGUGGCUUGAGAUUCGUCUUAAGUGUUUAUAGCCUCUUGCCUAUGCAGUCGGAGAGAUUGAGGUCUGCAGCGUAGAUCCUUCGGGGCUAAAUGCAUUUGUGCUAAGUUAUAGCAUUUUAUAGACAACUUGUUGACUAUGAUUUGUCUUGUAGCUUACUCGCUUAUGUUAUUUUACCUACGCUUAGGAUGUUGACAGCAGUAUAGACGU
rnacentral:rRNA from 1 species